CAACUACCAUACCACGUUGGAAACAACGGUUCUAGUCCGAUCACCGAAGUUAAGCAACAUUAGGCGUGGUUAGAAACUAGAUGGGUGACCGCCUGAGAACAGCGCGUUUAGCAUUGU
rnacentral:rRNA from 1 species